GAAAAGCGAGAAGAAAGGAGAUUUUACCAAAGCUCACUGCUUUGCAUAGAUUGAAAAGGUGGAUUAGGAGAAAAACUUAUUUGUUUUUUUCUUUUAAUCUUCGAAGGGAGAAAACAGGAAAAGGAAUUGGGUAUAACAACUAAACUUCAAUUCCAUACGCUGCUGCAACCAAUUGGAGGUUGGAUUAUGAAGAACACAACUUUUAAAGAAUGCAACGGAAAAUAUUUUUACUUGAAAAAUAUGAAAGUGAAGCUAGAAAAUCACCACAGAAAUGCUGAUAUCAUCCAGUAAAGAUCGCUAAAUGAUGAUCCAUUGCCAUCACUGUUCCAUUAUCAAGAGCAUAAUAUUUAAAAAGAAGGGGAAAUUUCAUUCUGUGGAAUUGU
rnacentral:lncRNA from 1 species